rnacentral:lncRNA from 1 species
CGCGUCUUUUGCUUCUGCGAGCAUGGGAGAUCUUGAAAGCCCCAGGUUCAAUGACCCGGAGAGCUAAGAUGUUUACAUACAUACCUGCGUCAUCUAGUUAUAUUUUCCCCGGUAGACAAAGGUAGGAGCCCCCCCGCGUCCCGUCUUUAGCUUUUAGCUAACGUGGCCAUCGGCCAAUUGCCAUACCACAAGGUAGAGAUCGAUCAAGAUCCCUUGAGUUCCGAAACUCGAGACUGGUAUUCAUUGACAGCAAUGGUGAAGCAGAUUGAAAUUUGUGAAGGAUUCUAUAGGAUUUUAGAGUAGAAGUUGGUGCUCGGUAUGGUGCCGAAUUGCCGGUGAUUCGGCAGCUGAGUGUAUAGCGUAUCUAAGUACUGUUUUACUACUUUCACCACUCGUUACUGUCGAAUAGCGCAGCCUCUCGCUCUAUCUAAUAACAAUGCGGAAUUUAUAUAAUGAUACGGUCCUUUCCAUUCUUUCUCCAUACAGAAAUGCGGUAAUUCGUCCGAAGAAGGAAGGAAUUAUCAGCAAAAGACAUGAGUGCGGCGGCUUGCUUGUAACUCAAUCGAUAUUGGAAUCCUCGUGAUGGUCCGACAUUAGUUAGAAUCAUUCUGCAGAGUGGUUUUCAUUUUUUGAUGGUUUGCUAUAAACAUGGUUUUUCGCUAAUCGAAAGUUAGUUUCCCAAGUCGCGACGCGGCCAUGUUGUUCCGCCCUCGUUCUAGCAAUAGCACAUCAGAUUGCAUCC